rnacentral:lncRNA from 10 species
UUCAAGGUUGACCUUUCUGAUGUAGGUAGGCCUCAUCCAGUCAGCUGAGACCUGAAUUAAACAAAAUGCCUGAAUAAGAGGGAAUUUCCUCCUGCGUGACUGCCUUGAGGUGGAACAUCAGUGUUUUUGCUGCCAUCAGACUCAUACUGAAACGCUGGUCUUUCUGGAUCCCAAGCCUCUAGGCCUUUGGACUGGAACUGCACCAUCAGCAUUUCUGUGUCUCCAGCUUGUCAACUGCAGAUCUGGGGACUUGUCAGCCUUCAUGAUGACCACAACACUGACUUUGACUGAAAGACAAAGGAAGUCAUAGCACCUCAAAGCUUGGUGAAUAAUGAAACAAAUGAUGAUACAUCCACACCACAGAAUCCUACUCAGCAAGAAAAAUAAACUAUUACUGCCUGCACAAAUUGGAUAAACCUCAAGGGAGUUACUCUGAGUGGAAAAAGCCAAUAUCAAAAGGUUUCGGGAAUAAAGGAGCAAGGAAGUUGGCAGCAUCUACAAAAUGAUAGCACAAAGGAGCCCUGUGAUGGAAGUGACCUGUACUUUGAGUGCAGUGGAAGAAGCCAACUUCAGGACAUUAAGCUACCAUAAGAAAAGAAACAGGAGGAUUCUCUUCUUUUGGAUCGUAUGGUACAGAUGCCGUGUGAAUGCCUAAUGAGUGGGAUCUGAACACAACUCUGCUAAUAAGGAAGUCUCCAAAAUGUAGUUCCUAGCUGUCCAGUUCCUGUGAUUCUUGAACAGUUGUUGAAGAGGAUGAGUAUAUUGUUGAAUGCCAACACAUAGUUCUGUUUUCCUUCACAGAGACAAUAUACAUGGGGAAUCAUCCCCAAAUAGAAAGAUGAGUUGCAUGCUGAACCAAAAGAUUACAGCAGUGUACAUAACAAUGUAACACUCAAAAGUUCUUUAUAUAAUAUGUGUUUCUAAACAGAUGAAAGCAUCCAAUAAAAAUUGAUUUUUAAACCACC